GUUGUUGCGGUUAAAAAGCUCGUAGUUGGAUUUCUGUUGAGAGCGACCGGUCCGUACCAUGUACGUGUAUCUGGCUUGCUCUCGGCAUCCUCUCGAUAGUCGUUGCUGCGCUUGAUUGCGUGGCGCGGAUCUCGGGACUUUUACUUUGAGGAAAUUAGAGUGUUCACGGCAGGCUUUCGCCAGAAUACAUUAGCAUGGAAUAAUACUAUAGGAUCUUGGUUCUAUUUUGUUGGUUUCUAGAAUUGAGAUAAUGAUUAAUAGGGACAAUUGGGGGCAUUCGUAUCAACACGUCAGAGGUGGAAUUCUUGGAUUGUGUUGCGACGAACUACUGCGAAAGCAUUUGCCAAGGAUGUUUUCAUUGAUCAAGAACGAAAGUAAGGGGAUCGAAGACGAUUAGAUACCGUCGUAGUCUUUACCAUAAACUAUGCCGACUAGAGAUGGGGCAUCGUUCAUUUACGACUUGCUCCGCACCUUAUGAGAUAUCAAAGUUUUUGGGUUCCGGGGGGAGUAUGGUCGCAAGGCUGAAACUUAAAGGAAUUGACGGAAGGGCACCACCACGAGUGGAGCCUGCGGCUUAAUUUGACUCAACACGGGGAAACUCACCGGGUCCAGACAUAAUAAGGAUUGACAGAUUGAUAGCUCUUUCUUGAUUUUAUGGGUGGUGGUGCAUG
rnacentral:rRNA from 1 species